CCCUCCCUGCUCCAGCCCGCUGCCCCGCUCCUCCAAACCCCAGACUCUCCUGAGGACUGCGGAGCAAAGAUCUAGGGAACAGCGAGGCAAACCCCCUCAGGUUCCCCAGGCGUCCCAGAGAGGAGCGGUGAGCUGGUCACCCUGCAGAUCAGCGGCAAACAAAGAGCCGGACAAAAGUCGAGGGCCUUUCGACUCCCCGUCUACUGCUCUUCCCUGCACAGGGGAAGUCACUUUCCUACACGGUCCCGGACCUCGCCUUCCUCCGAAACGAAUAGCGGCUCGCUCGUGCGCAGAGGAGCCCGUCCAUUUCCAGAAGGUGCAAGGAGUGGAAUUUCCACCACUGGAAGUUUCAAAGGUCAGAAGAAUGAGCUAUGGUAAUCCAGAAAUCAAAAUCGAGGCCAAAGUUGUAUAAAGAUGAAAAUUAAUACACAAUAACUAAAGUAUUAUAUUUUAAUAGUUGUAUUAAUAAUAACUAAAGCAAAAGAACUGCCUGAAGUCAGCCUGGUCACAGGUCAAAAAAAAAGAGCGUGGGCAGAGUUACAGCCCACUUAAAUACCAUCACACAAAAUGGGAGGACACAGGAAAAGGGAAAAGGAUUCUAGGUAAUAGAGAAAGGA
rnacentral:lncRNA from 1 species